UUAAGUUCAGCGGGUAGCCCUACCUGAUUUGAGGUCAGAAGAUAAAGAGUAAGGGGUGGUUGUGAGCGGGCGUAGAGCCAGGGGUCCAACGAAACUUAUUACGUCGAGCCAGAGGCCUAUCCCACUAACGCCUUUAAGGUGAGCCGGUGAAGUCGGCAGACACCCAAGUCCAAGUCCAGCCCGGUAACAAAACCGUGAAG
rnacentral:misc_RNA from 1 species